GAUGAUUGAGAAGUACCAUCCAGGUUUGGGCGAUGCAAGAUGGCCAUUUGUAACUCAUUUUGUGGGAUGCAAGCCAUGUGGGAGCUAUGGAGAUUAUCCUGCGGAGAGGUGCUUGAAAAAUAUGGAGAGGGCUUUCAAUUUUGCAGAUAAUCAAGUGCUUAACUUGUAUGGGUUUAGACAUAAGGGAUUGUUAAGCCCAAACAUCAAAAGGAUUAGGAAUGAAACAGAUAAUCCAUUGCAGUAUGUAGAUCAGUUAGAUGUUCGACAUGCAAAGCAUGAGAGCACAGAAACUCACAGCUAGUGGCCACACCAGCUUUUGCAUAGAAGAAUCUGCAGGGUGCGACUGAGGUUUUGACCUGUCGUGGAUGAGAAUGGCUCUCUUGGAAAGAAGCGGCCAUGUUUCUUCUGGUUGUUAUACUUUGGUGGUCAAGCCUUGCAUCUUUUUUUUUCCUCCCACGGUUUUAAGUUUGUGUUAGGUUUACUUAUUUCUAGCAAUAUUUUAGUUUCUCAGCGAGAUGCCUUUUGAACUGUAUGAAUGAUAUGCUUGAAAAAGAACAGCUGGAACCAAAUAGAAUGAGUGUAGAAUUUGUCUAGAUAGCUUCAACAUGAGUUACUCACUCUCAACCUACACCUUUGGUAGGUAUAAGAUGUGAUCACACUUGUAUAAUUGCAAUUCUUGGACGGUUUUUUCUGUUGGUUAAUGAUUUUUUGGUAUAUGAUAGUGGACCAUAAAGUUAUAUGAACUUGAA
rnacentral:misc_RNA from 1 species